UCGGGAAUUUUGGGCAAUGGGGGAAACCCUGACCCAGCAACGCCGCGUGAAGGAUGAAGUAUUUCGGUAUGUAAACUUCGAAAGAAUAGGAAGAAUAAAUGACGGUACUAUUUUAUAAGGUCCGGCUAACUACGUGCCAGCAGCCGCGGUAAUACGUAGGGACCAAGCGUUGUUCGGAUUUACUGGGCGUAAAGGGCGCGUAGGCGGCAUGACAAGUCACUUGUGAAAUCUCUGGGCUUAACCCAGAACGGCCAAGUGAUACUGUCGCGCUAGAGUGCAGAAGGGGCAAUCGGAAUUCUUGGUGUAGCGGUGAAAUGCGUAGAUAUCAAGAGGAACACCUGAGGUGAAGACGGGUUGCUGGGCUGACACUGACGCUGAGGCGCGAAAGCCAGGGGGAGCAAACGGGAUUAGAUACCCCGGUAGUCCCUGAGCGGGCUGGCAAGGCGCAU
rnacentral:rRNA from 1 species